rnacentral:rRNA from 1 species
CCUACGGGAGGCGGAGGUGGGGAAUUUUGGACAAUGGGCGGAGAACCCUGAUCCAGCAAUGCCGCGUGUGCGAAGCGGAGGGUUGUAAAGCACUUUUGUCAGGGAAGAAAUCCUUUGGGCUAAUACCCCGGAGGGGAUGACGGUACCUGAAGAAUAAGCACCGGCUAACUACGUGCCAGCAGCGGAGCGGUAAUACGUAGGGUGCAAGCGUUAAUCCGGAGAUUACUGGGCGUAAAGCGUGCGCAGGCGGUUCCGGAGACAGGUGUGAAAUCCCCGGGCUUAACCUGGGAAUUGCAUUCGGAGACUGUAGGACUAGAGUGUGUCAGAGGGGGGUGGAAUUCCACGUGUAGCAGUCGGAGUGCGUAGCGGAGGAGGAACACCAAUGGCGAAGGCAGCCCCCUGGGAUAACACUGACGCUCAUGCACGACGGAGGUGGGGAGCAAACGGAGAACUAGUUGUUGGGGAUUUACUUCCUUGGUAACGUAGCUAACGCGUGAAGUUGACCGCCUGGGGAGUACGGCCGCAAGGUUAAAA